rnacentral:siRNA from 1 species
UGGGUCUAUUGGGGAACCUCCA